UGUACCUCUUUAGCACCUUCACAGCAUAGACAGGUGUCAUUAACCUCUCUCUCUAUCCCCCUCUCUCUCUCUCUCUCUAUCCCCCUCUCUCUCUCUCUAUCCCCCUCUCUCUCUCUCUAUCUCUCUCUCUCUCCCUCUCUCUCUCCCCCUCUCCCUCUCUCUCUUUCCCUCCCUCUCAUUCCCUCUCUCCCUCUCUCCCCAUCACUCUCUCCCUCUCUCUCUUUCCCUCCCUCUCCUUCUCUCUCCCCCUCUCCCUCUCUCUCUUUCCUUCCCUCUCCUUCCCUCUUUCCCUCUCUCUCUCUCCCUCUCUCCCUCUGUCCACAUCUGUGUCCCUCUCUCUCUCUCUCUCCCCAUUUAUCUCUCCCCCUCUCUCUCCCUCUCCCUCUCUCCCUCCCUCUCUCUCUACCCCUCUCUCUACCCCUCUCUCUCGCCCUCUCUCACUCUCUCUCUCUCUACCCCUCUCUCUCCCUCUCUUUCUCUCUUUCUCUCUCUGUCUCUCUCUCUCUCUCUCUCUCCCUCUUUCCCUCUGUCCCCAUCUGUGUCCCUCUCUCUCUCUCUCUCCCCUCUCUCUCUACCCCUCUCUCUACCUCUCUCUCUCUCUCUCCCCUCUCUCUCUACCCCUCUCUCUCCCCCUCCCUCUCUCUCUACCCCUCUCUCUCUACCCCUCUCUCUACCUCUCUCUCUCUCUCUCCCCGCUCUCUCUCUCCCGCUCUCUCUCUCCCUCCCUCUCUACACCUCUCUCUCCCCCUCUCUCUCCCUCUCUCUCUCUCCCUCUCUCUCUCUCUACACCUCUCUCUCCCUCUCUCUAUCUCUCCCUCCCUCUCUCUCUCUCUCUCCCCCUCUCUCUCCCUCUCCCUCUCUCUCUCUCCCUCCCUCUCUCCCUCUCCUCUCUCUCUACCUCUCUCUCUCUCUCCCUCUCUCUCUCUCUCUCCCCCUCUCUCUACCCCUCUCUCUACCCCCCUCUCUCUCUCUCUCCCUCUCUCUCUCCCUCUCUCCCUCUCACCCUCUCUCCCUCUCUCUCUCUCCCUCCCUCUCUCUCUACCCUCUCUCUCCCCCCCUCUCUCUCUCUCCUCCCUCUCUCUCUACCCCUCUCUCUACCCCUCUCUCUCUCCCUCUACCCCUCUAUCUCUCCCUCUCUCCCCAGAGCAGAGGACAGGAGUGUGGACAGGUGUCAUUAACCAAUGCAGCAUGCGUUGUGAAAUAUACAUAUGAAACUAUAUUGAAACUAAUACUUCAGUAUUCGGUUGUUUAGUGAACAGGUACACAAUGUUUGUACACCAUUUACUGCGAUCUACUUAUAUACCAGCAAUGUAUGUGUUACGUCCUCCUGCCUUAGGGGUCGCUAUUUUCCCUUGCGCCUUUGACUUGAUUUGUGUGCAGGUGUUGCCUGUCAGAUGGGGGCGGAGCCCAAUGCGUUUUAAGGCCGGGAUCGCCAGUCCAGAAGGUUCUCCUUCAACUGCGUGCCGCCACGCUAUUUGGGCCUUCCUCGUCGUCCUAUUUUGUUAUUGAAAUUCUCCUCUGUUCUAUUUAGCCUUUUUGUUUAUUAAACCCCCCUAGAUACGAGCCCAUUCUGUCUUGUGCUUCAUUUGUUGCCUUUCAGUACAACUGGUUUGUAACAGUAUGGAUCACUUAUGAAUGAACUAUGAGU
ensembl:lncRNA